GUUAAUGUAGCUUAAAAUUAAAGCAAGGCGCUGAAAAUGCCUAGAUGGGUCAUAGACUCCAUAAACA
rnacentral:tRNA from 2 species